rnacentral:rRNA from 1 species
ACUCCUACGGGAGGCAUCAGUGGGGAAUUUUGGACAAUGGGCGAAAGCCUGAUCCAGCAAUGCCGCGUGUGCGAAGAAGGCCUUCGGGUUGUAAAGCACUUUUGUCAGGAAAGAAAUUGUCUGGGCUAAUACCCCAGGCCGUUGACGGUACCUGAAGAAUAAGCACCGGCUAACUACGUGCCAGCAGCCGCGGUAAUAC